CCCUUAGAUGUUCUGGGCUGCACGCGCGCUACACUGACACACUCAGCGAGUCUCCUGGUCCGAGAGGAUUGGGUAAUCAUGUGAGCGUGUGUCGUGAUGGGGAUAGAAUAUUGUAAUUAUUACUCUUCAACGAGGAAUUCCUAGUAAGCGCGAGUCAGCAGCUCGCGCUGAUUACGUCCCUGCCCUUUGUACACACCGCCCGUCGCUCCUACCAAUGGGUGAUCCGGGGAAUGACUCGGACUCUGGAAUUAGCUAUUUAUAGCUUUUAUCCGGAGGAAGUUUUGUGAACCUUAUCACUUGGAGGAAGGAGAAGUCGUAACA
rnacentral:rRNA from 1 species